GCUAAUCCUUUGUUUCUCAUAUUUUUGCUUCCAAAAUUACAGAAGUUAUUUGCAAUGCUAGAGGGGCAUGCCUUUGGGAAUGCGGACGAUACAAGUGGUGCAUAUGAUGGUCGUUAGCUCGUGCCACAAGGUGUUGUUCUAAAUCCCAAAAUGAGUGCAACCCUAAUGUCCCUGUUAAGUUUGGAAUCCUAAACGCUUUGGGGGACAUGCCAAAGGAAGGUGAGGAUGAGGUCAAGGCUUCAUGCCUCUUACCUCCUGGGCAACACACAUGCUGCAAAGGCUGAGACAAAGGGUCAUGAUCACACGGGUAUGAGCCAAAUCCAAACACUCAUUCUUAGUUCAGAUCUCAAUUCAUGAAAUCUGAGU
rnacentral:ncRNA from 1 species